UUUCCGGUAACAUCUGUUUAUAUGUAAUUCUUGUGAGGUAAAGGCAGUUGAAAGGGUAAUAAUCAUAAUCAGUGCUCUGGUUGGAAUAUAAUAUUUUCUCAAUUAACGAGCUUUCACCAAAAAGCUGAAGAAACACCACCCAGUGUCAAGUAGCAGACCAGCAGGUCGUGGGGUUCUCCCCGUCUGUCGUUUAUCUUUCAGCCCUGAGGAAAGGAUGAGAUGAGCUUACUGGUGUUCCUCCACACCUGAGCACCACGGGCACAAACUGGAAUCCAGACUCCAGGUGUGGAGCACGAUCACGCCACUCCGACUGACCCAGAGAUCACAUGUAAUUAAACCUAGUUUGAUGCUGUC